rnacentral:SRP_RNA from 1 species
GCUGGGUGUGUUGUCGUGCACCUGUAGUCCCAGCUAUUCGGGAAGCUGAGGCAGGUGGAUCACUUGAGCCCAGGAGGUGGAGGCUGCAGUGAGCUGUGAUAAUGCCACUGCAUUCCAGCCUGGGCAACAGAGUGAGACCCAGUCUCCA